GUGCCAGCAGCCGCGGUAAUACGUAGGUGGCGAGCGUUAUCCGGAAUGAUUGGGCGUAAAGGGUGCGCAGGCGGCGCGUCAAGUCUGAAGUAAAAGGUACAGGCUCAACCUGUGCAGGCUUUGGAAACUGGCGCGCUCGAGGACAGGAGAGGGCGGUGGAACUCCAUGUGUAGCGGUAAAAUGCGUAGAUAUAUGGAAGAACACCAGUUGCGAAGGCGGCCGCCUGGACUGUUACUGACGCUGAGGCACGAAAGCGUGGGGAGCAAAUAGGAUUAGAUACCCUAGUAGUCCACGCCCUAAACGAUGAGGAGCAGGUGUCGGAGGGAGUACCCCGGUGCCGAAGCUAACGCAAUGACUCCUCCGCCUGGGGAGUAUGCACGCAAGUGUGAA
rnacentral:rRNA from 1 species